GACGAACGCUGGCGGCGUGCUUAACACAUGCAAGUCGAACGGAAAGGCCCUGCUUUUGUGGGGUGCUCGAGUGGCGAACGGGUGAGUAACACGUGAGUAACCUGCCCUUGACUUUGGGAUAACUUCAGGAAACUGGGGCUAAUACCGGAUAGGAGCUCCUGCUGCAUGGUGGGGGUUGGAAAGUUUCGGCGGUUGGGGAUGGACUCGCGGCUUAUCAGCUUGUUGGUGGGGUAGUGGCUUACCAAGGCUUUGACGGGUAGCCGGCCUGAGAGGGUGACCGGCGACAUUGGGACUGAGAUACGGCCCAGAGUGCUACGGGAGGCAGCAGUGGGGAAUAUGGCACAAUGGGGGGAAGCCUGAUGCAGAAACGCCGCGUGCGGGAUGACGGCCUUCGGGUUGUAAACCGCUUUCGCCUGUGACGAAGCGGGAGUGACGGUAAUGGGUAAAGAAGCACCGGCUAACUACGUG
rnacentral:rRNA from 1 species